rnacentral:rRNA from 1 species
CGGACGGGUGAGUAACGCGUGGGUAACCUGCCUCACACUGGGGGAUAACAGUUAGAAAUAGCUGCUAAUACCGCAUAAGCGCACGGUUCCGCAUGGAACAGUGUGAAAAACUCCGGUGGUGUGAGAUGGACCCGCGUCUGAUUAGCCAGUUGGCAGGGUAACGGCCCACCAAAGCGACGAUCAGUAGCCGGCCUGAGAGGGUGAACGGCCACAUUGGGACUGAGACACGGCCCAA